rnacentral:lncRNA from 1 species
AUGGUUAGUACAACCACGCAACCAGAAAUGACCACUCCACUGUUGACAAUAAUAAAAGUUACUAAGGCGAAAGUGAAACCCAAGCCAAAAAAGCCGCUGCCACCAAAGAAGAAAAUCGUUCCGUCUAAAAUUGACAAAAAGAAGACGCCACCACCCAAAAAAUCACCCAAAAAAGAGGUAACACUGAAACCUAAAAUUGCCAAGAAAAAGCCAGAAAACUCAAAGCCCAAAAAGUCUCCACCGAAGAAAACAUCUUGGAAAUCAAGCCCGAAGAAAAACACCCCAACUUCACCCAAGAAGUCUCCAAGCACCGUGAAAAAGACCAUUUUAUCAAGCACGACCACACCCACUCCCACCGCAUCCAGCAGUCUGACACUAAAGAUGAUUGCAACAAAAAAGGCUCCUAAAAAGUCUAAACAAGUUCCAUCAAGUGACAAAAAGAAGCAGGCACCGAAAGUUAAGGUUUCCAAGGAUCCUAAGACGAGUCCGGGACCAAAAAACACCUCAAACUCACAGAAGAGUAAGUUUACAGUGGUGAAAGCAAAAUACCCAGGGACAAAAUCCAACUCAAAGCCAAAAGUCAACAAAUUUUCUGUUAUAAAAGCCUAUCUUCCAAAGAAGCCUUCCAAGACAACCCCAUCCUAUUACACCACUACUACUUCUACUAUGAGUACUAUUAAUACUUCAACCCCAUAUACAAGCCCAAAUGAGUAUUUUACUACCACAAGCAUACAUCCAACAACAAGUAGCUUCCCUGAAUUUACUGUCAAUGUAACAUAUAACAUAAACAAUGACACGAUGACAACACAAGACGCACUGUUGUGGUACUAUGACGAUACUGCAUAUACUACUUCAAGCCCAAAUCAGUAUUUUGAGGAUACGACGAUGUCUAGUGGUACUUUGCCCUACAUUGAUGGGACCCUGGUCAGCAGUGGUGACAUGGCAGUGACUAGCGGGACAAUUAUGAGCAGAGAUUACAUCAUUGGGGGCGUGGCUACUGACACAACAAUAUUAGAUGAUAGGCUGACGAUGGUAAUACCAACAAUAACUAGUGAGGAUAUGAGUGAGUUUGUAUCUCCGCCGUGGCAGGAUUUGUCCGAGUACAUCCCACUGGAUGUUCUCGUGACGACCUCCUAUUCCACCGCAGCUCCACUGACCACCAGUUCUCCAGAAAUAGAUACAGACACAAUAUUCAUGACAGCCUAUACUGAAAGCGAAAAUAACAUGAUAGACUUGUCUUACAAUCGGGCCGUCCUGGGGGACAAUGACAUUUCCCAAGACAACCUCAUCUCCAAACACAGAGUCAACCUGCGGGAGCGGACCAAAAACAAACGCAUCCAGGAGCUGCUUGAGGAAAAGAGGAACUUUCUGCUGCGCAUGAAACGAGGACAUGCAAAACGAUAG